GACAUGAGUAUAGGGGCGAAAGACUAAUCGAACCACCUAGUUGCUGGUUUCCUCCGAAGUUUCCCCCAGGAUAGCUGGAACCCGUUGCGAGCCGUGUCAGGUAAAGCGAAUGAUUAGAGGUUUCGGGGUAGAAACUAUCUCGUCCUAUUCUCAAACUUUAAAUGGGCACGAUGCGGUGGCUGCUUAAUUGAGCUGCUGCGUUGGGUCGGGGUUCUUAGUGGGCCAUUUUUGGUAAGCAGAACUGGCGAUGUGGGAUGCACCAGACGCUCGGUUAAGGGGCCUAAGUGCUCGCUCAUUCAGAUACCAUAAAGGGUGUUGGUUGAUGAAGACAGCAGGACGGUGGUCAUGGAAGUCGAAAUCCGCUAAGGAGUGUGUAACAACUCACCUGCCGAAUCAACUAGCCCCGAAAAUGGAUGGCGCUCAAGCGAGCCCCCGAAACCGGGCCAUCCGGGCAGAUGCGACGCCCGGAUGAGUAGGAGGACGCGCCGGUCGCAGCGAAGGCGCGGGCGCGAGCCCCGCUCAGAGCGGCCGGUGGUGCAGAUCUUGGUGUUAGUAGCAAAUAUUCAAAUGAAAACUUUGAAGGCCGAAGUGGAGAAAGGUUUCACGCGAACAACAUUUGGACGUGAGUGACUCGGUCCUAAGGUAUUCCGUAUGGGAUUCAGAAGCCGCGGCUCGUCUGCGGCGUCGGCCGAAAGGGAUACGGGUUUAGAUUCCCGUAGUGUGGACGGUGGUGCUGAGCGGCGACGCGUUCAAACCUGCUGACGACGGCCCGGGCCCUGGGAAGAGUUCUCUUUUCUUUUUAACGCGCCCGCUCGGCCCUGGAAUGCCUUCACGGCUCGAUGGGGCGGAGCGCGCGGCAAAGCGGCUGACUUCCUCAGCCGUCCGGUGCGCUCGGGACGUCCCUUGAAAAGGCAGGGGCGUGCUUAUACACCCGGUCCCAGCCGUACUCAUAACCGCAUCAGGUCUCCAAGGUUAAAAGCCUCUGGCCAAUAGAACAAUGUAGGUAAGGGAAGUCGGCAAAUUGGUUCCGUAAGUUCGCGAUAUGGAAUGGCUCGUCAGCCUGGGUGGUAGAGGCUCGGUCCAUGAAGCCCGCUAGCCGACGGGACUGGCUGGGCCGCCUUCGGGUGCGCCCGGCCGGGCCCGCUUCGGUAGGUGGGUGGAGGGGUCGAGACAGCGCCGGGCGUUCCGGCGACCGGUUAGCGUUCUCGCCACGACUAGCAGGCAAUGACGAACUCGUAGUGACCACAGGAACCCGACUGUUUAAUUAAAACAAAGCAUUGCGAUGGUUGCAAGUCAAUGGUGACGCAAUGUGAUUUCUGCCCAGUGCUCUGAAUGUCAACGUGAUGUAAUUCAAUUAAGCGCGGGUAAACGGCGGGAGUAACUAUGACUCUCUUAAGGUAGCCAAAUGCCUCGUCAUCUAAUUAGUGACGCGCAUGAAUGGAUCAACGAGGUUCCUACUGUCCCUAUCUACUAUCUAGCGAAACCACAGCCAAGGG
rnacentral:rRNA from 1 species